UCACCUACACUCAGCCCUCUGGUCACUAGGAUCUUUGCCCACUUCCAGCAGCUUUCCUCUAGCCAAGACUAUCACCUUCCUUUUCCAGGCCACUUUCUUUUUAUCGAGACCACUUCUUUUCGAGAAUCCUUCAUUUUAUCACCAGCUCUUCUUUCCAGCAUUCUAGGACCCCAAUUAAUCCCAGUCAAUGUGCAGAAGCACAGUGCAUAUGAUGAGCCUAAUAACUGGUGGUUCUGUUUCAUGUCUCUUCCUUAACUGCAGGAUUUGGGAUGUUCCACCGCUGUUUAGAAUAGGUGUUACCAAAAUUUGCUACCAGCCUGCACCAGUUACAGUUAGUAAGCAGCAAGCUUCUGCCUGACAGUUGAGAAGUUUAGCUUCAGACAUUCCCCACCCUCAACAGUCUGUCUCCUGUUAGCUUUCAUAAUUUAACUCCUUUUUUUCACCUAGGACAGGAGCUUUCCACAUUCCUCACUCACUGCAUUAGCUGGGACAGGGAUUAAAAGAGUUUGUGCUGAGUGCUUGAGGACAACUGGAUUUUAAAGUAUAUCUCUCUGGAGAAACACUGCUGAAUCUUACCUGGGCUCUGUUGGAAGAACAACUUGUAGUUGGGAAUAACUUGAUCAUUUCUUUCUUCCCCAGGCAGAGUCCACAAAGGCCACACUCAGGUUGCUGAGACAGAUUUAGGAACGCAAUUCUGUCAAGCAAGUUGUGAGGGAGUUGUUAGGAUAGAAAAGCAAUAAAAAAGUUCACACAACACACCAGUAAAACCUGGCAUCAGCACAUACAAAGACAUUUGACAGUAGGCAACUCUGUAAUACAAGGCUCUCCAAACCAGCUUAACCCAGUAAGUCUUAGAGUACAUUCCCAUGAGAACAUGGUCAUAUGGCUUUCAGAUUCAACUCGGCUCACAUGGAGCCCACGUGGCUGUCUCUGUGCUGGGAGCACAGUCACCACUCCACCUAGUUAAUUGUCCCCCAGCUAACCAGGGGAAAACUGUCAUUAUUUAGGUUUUGAACAAGUUAAUAUAAACUAAACCCUACUUUUUUGUAUUUCAUACAAGAUAAAAAAGACUGGAUCUGGUGGCUAGAAUGGCAGUAUUUUGCCAGAAAACUGCUCCAUACUUGCAAUGCUUCAACCCUGCUUUUAUUAGAGAUUCUUUUGCCUUUUUCUUCCUUUGUAUUUCUAGGUGCUAAUUUCCACUUACAAAGUUAUUUCAGCUGGAUCAGAUAACUAGGCUUUAGUUCUUUUAAAAUGGCUGAAAAUCGUUUAACCGUAUUUACUGUGACAAGAACCCCCAGAGUGCUAGGCAUUCAUAAUGGAAAACUAUUUUUAGUAUAUUUUCUUAAGGAAAAAAUUACCUACGAAGCCAAGUUGUUUGUUCACCCAAAUAAUAGUUCUAACAACUACAAACCUGCAGACAGAUUUGGCAAAUUUGUAAAGUUCCUGCAAAUCAUGUAAAAAAAUCAGUAGUUAGACAGAAAAAAAGCCUAUUAUUUCCUUCAUGAUGCAGGGAAAGGAGGAAAAAUCAACCUUUGUUCUUUCAGGUGAGAACAGGCUGGCCUGUUAGUCUGUGCUACUAAUUGACCAGGUGCAGAGCUCUAAUUCAGGUACUGCACAUCUGUCCUCUUCCCUGCCGGGUAAUUAGGGGACCUGGAGUGAGGUGAGACUACUGUAGAAGAGCUUAGGGACAUAUAGGUAAACUGGAAAAGAUAUAGGGAAAACUAGGGUUAUUGAGUGGAGCUUUGUAGGAAACACGUAAAGAAAAAAUCUGUACGAGAUCAGACUUCAUAAAUUCUGCUACUCAUGAAAUACUGAAAUAUUCUUUCCCUCUGGAGUUUCUUACUCUAAUCCCUCUGCCAUUUAUAUUCAGAAAUCUCACCUGAAUGACUCAUCUUUUCAGCUGCCAGUUCGAAGAUGUCAUUGCCAUUCAGCCUACAUUUUCUGGAUUAAAAAUGACAGCCACCUUCCUGGGCACCUCCUCCCUGAGCUACUUUGAGAACAGAGAAGCUCCAGCAGCACACUCCAUUUUUCCCCCCACACACAUUGUCUGUGUCACUUUUCUUCUUUUUGGGGCUGAAUAUGGAAUGUAAACCUCAUACUGGCACUGAGGAACUUUUAUGAUGACAGUCAUGGUUUGUGAAAGUGUCAGCUGGUUAUGUCUGGAUCAUUUUCUUUUAACUGUGAGAUUUCAAGAAUUGAAAGCAUAAAGAUUUUUAGCAUGUACCUGCUAAACAAGGUGCUUUUGAAAUUCAAGUUAUUCUUAGUGUCAAAUACAUUCACAAGUGACAGGAUAUCCAUCUGAAGAGGUAAGAGGGGGAAAAGGGGAAAAAUAGAUGAAAAAUAGUACAGGGAAUGUUUGGAUCUGCACUUACAUUGCAUGUGAGUCUGGUGAAAGAACAAAGGAGAAAAGAGGUAGAUGAAAGGAGAGUGUGAGAAUGCAAAAACUGCAAUGUGGGAUGUCUUUGAAAAAUGCCUCUAAGUUUCAGACCUUCUCCGUAGCAGCCUUUUGUUAACUGGCAAAGUAAAGACCAAAAGAACAUUGCCUGGUGUGGUAUUGUUUUGUUUAUUACCUUUAAUUUUCUUCUUACAAAUGUUAAUACUUUACUUACUUUUCAACAUCUGCUAAGCAUUCAGCAGAUAUCUUGGAUGAGCUGUCAACACGAAGUUGCAUCUUGAGCACCACAAACCGACUUGACAGCUAAGCCAGAUAAUUUAAAUAGAAGAAUUGACUACAAUCAAGGCUGAAGUCUAUCUUCUCCUUGCCAAAAUAAAACCUGAAUAACACUAGUUCAUCUGACACAAAUAUUCCAUCCAGCCUCAGAUGAAGGCUAUACAUAGAAGAAAAGAAGAAGAAAAUAGAAUCUUACCCUCCAAUACUACUGUUCCAGCUUCUUCAGUGAGUAAAUGCUUGUCUACAAUGUGGGAGCCCUAACUACCCGCUAAAGCAUUUUCUGGGAUAGCAGAAAGGAAUUAAGGAGGUUCUGGCGUGCAACUAAGCACACUAGAUGAGGUAGAGGCAUUAAAGCACUGCAUCUUCUUGGCAACAGUUGAAUCACUGCCAAAGUCAGGAAUUCAUUCUCUUAUUUUUUUCUUGGAGUAAAUGAAACCCCUCAACCCACACCCUUUGUCACAGCUCAUGCUGUAGUAGCACUGGCAUUUCCCCACGGGACAUGCACCUCACAGGGAAGGAAGGGGGACGGGUUCUCCUGCACCUUUGCCAAAGUGCUCCAGUUACCACUUCACUUUUUUUAAUCUGGCCCUCAAACGUUUAUAGGUCUUCUCCUGCUGAAGCUCUUUGGCAAAGUCAGUUCAUAUUUGCAAACAAGUCUUGAGGUCACAGCAAUCACACUGGCAUUUUUACUGGUGGUUUUCGAAUGGUCUUCUUGCCAGUUUUGAUUAGAGCUAUCCUCAGAGGUUACAGUUUAUUCAGAAUCCCCACUGCAUACAAGCAUGCAACUAUACAACUUUCUCUGCUGGCACUUCAUUUACAAUUAUAUUGCUUCCAAACAUUUACAGGAGCUUUAUUAGAUCCAUCUGGUAUUCUUUAUAAUCCUUCCAAACUCUACCAAGCCCAAAUAAUCUGUAUCAUAAGCAAAUUUUAUUAUCAGACCAUUCUGUCUCUCAGACUCUGAAUAAUCUACAGAACACUGGCUCCAGCCAGGGUCCAUGGGGCAUCCCACUAUUAACCUUUUUCCAUUUUAAGAGGUAGUAAUUUAUUCUAGCUCUUCGUAGUCUCUCUUUCAGCUAGUUUUUAAUUCAUGACAGAACUUUACCUUUCACCUCUGAUUCUCAAGUUCCAUCACCGCUUUGAAAAAGACUUUAUUGACAGUGUUUCAAGGCUCUAAAUUAAUUGUAUCCUCUCAUCAUUUACUUGCCAUUAUAUUAAUGUCGAAAUAAUAUUUUUGUUUUAGGAAACAAAUGCUUUUCCCACCACUAGCAAGUGACUUUAUUUUGACUUAUUGAAAUGAGUGCAUGGAAGGCCUAUUUGCUUUUCUCCCUCUAUUGUUAUGACUGCUUGCUUCCAGCCUGUAAUAGUCUCCCAACUGCCUCAGAAAUACACCUUUAAUUCUUUACCUCAGCACUGAGCAAAAACUCUAUAAACUACAUGAUUCCUAAAAUAAAUGUGAGUUCCAUUCUAAAGAGCAACUACUAUGUUUUUCAUUUUCUUCUUGCAAAGUUAGUGCUUGCCAUAACACACUGCCUUAACUCUUUGAGGUCAGAUGAACAGCCCAUUUAAUCAAAGUGAAUUUUUCAUUUUGUGAGAUGGGUUUUCCUGAAUUCAGCUGCUUCUUAUUUCAGUUAUCACUAGACAAUUGUAUAUCACCUGCUGCCAGAUGUGGUUUAAUUUCAUUUUUUCAAAGAUAUCUGUCUCCAUGAGGUUUUUUUGCCUUUGUUACUUCUAGCAGCCAAGAUAAGCCCCUGAAUUCUCCACACGUAGCUGUUUUUUUCCAUCCCAUUAUACUAAGUAGCAUGAUAAUGAAUGUAAACGAACAGCUCUGUGUCUCUGCCAAAUAUUUUUCUUCUUCAGUUAUGAAUGGAGGAUUUUCCCUUUUUAAAGACUUUAAAAUACAGUCAUUCACUCUUGGUUCCUACACAUGUACAGACCUCAACAUUUUUGCUAUAGCAUUUGCUUAACUUUUCAACAGUUUGUAUUUUUUCUUUUUUAUUUUUUUUUUAAAUCCAUGAGAAAACAGCAACUAUUUGUAUUUAAAAGAGAUACUUUAAAAGUGGCUGGCUUUAAAACCUUGUAGUGGUAUCCCUUUUAAACACCUCUUCUGGAGACAGGGAAGUGGAAAGGCAGCUGCAUAUCUCUGUCAUGGCCCAGAGCACUACUAAUUGAACAUGUGCCAAGUGACUACUUGCCUGCUCAGCAACUGACGACCGAGGUGAUUGUGAUGAACUGGCUAUACCUGGGCUGCAGCAAUUACCUUUGAGUUCAAUUGAAGGUAUUCUCUGCUUUAUCAUCGUCAAACUUUCUUAACCACAGAGACAUACUCCUCGGCUUGCUAAGAAAAAACAGCAUGGAUGAAAGGAUGCAUUGAGCAAUACACUGAGUAGCCUGUCUUGCCUCAGCUAUCAUGGGGAAACAAUGGUGUGAGGAGGUUGUCCUCCCAGCAGCUGCCUGGAUUCUCAUCAGUGUCUUGAAAUGCAAGGAAAAGAAUAGCAAAGCUAUUAGUAAGAGAAAUCUGGAUCCCAUUCUCACCGCAGAAAACAUGCUGGUCUUCAAAGAUUAAAAGAAUCUGUGUGCAGUUCCUCUGAGAAAAGGGACCUAACCUUUGGGCUUGUGUUCCACACUGUAUCCAGUAGUUAUGGAGAAAGAACACACACAAAGCAUGCUUGGGCCUCACCAGAGCGCAGUGAAGCAAGGCCUGGAGACCGUACAUCCUCAGGGAGCACUCAGUUUCUUUCUAGAUCAAGAAGUGGGAGCUGGCAGAGGCUGCACACGUGUAGGAAACAUACUGUUACCUAAGAGUAUGUUAUUACAUCACACAGUCACUGGAAAGGUGUACGUAUCAACAUAUUCUUGUUGCCUAACAAAUUUGAUGCUGCAGGCUAUUUGGUGCCUUCAGUUAAACAAUUACAUUCUUUAAAAGGAUACUGCUAAUUUAGUCCUAAAACUUGAAUGUACAGAAACUAGCUUUUAUAAAACCUGAAAUCUAAGGAGCUGCUGUAGGUUGUUUUUAUUUUCCAGUGUUUUCGCAAGCUGUUUUUUAAAUUCCAGCUGUGUGCAAGCUCUCUGGCAAUAACUGAAUUCCCACACAGCAGCAACUUGAAGCCAUGUUAAACAAUGUAAUCAAAACUAAUCCUGCUUCUGUUGCUUUUCAUUGGCUUUGUUGUUUGAUGCUGACCAGAACAUCAUUGCUUGAGUUUUCACUAUGUGGGCAGAAUCUCCUUAAGGGAUCACCAGGCAACAGGAAGCCCUCUCCACUGUGG